rnacentral:rRNA from 1 species
ACUGAACGCUGGCGGCAUGCCUUACACAUGCAAGUCGAACGGUAACGCGGGGCAACCUGGCGACGAGUGGCGAACGGGUGAGUAAUGCAUCGGAACGUGCCCAGUAGUGGGGGAUAGCCCGGCGAAAGCCGGAUUAAUACCGCAUACGACCUACGGGUGAAAGCGGGGGACCGUAAGGCCUCGCGCUAUUGGAGCGGUCGAUGUCAGAUUAGGUUGUUGGUGGGGUAAAAGCCUACCAAGCCGACGAUCUGUAGCUGGUCUGAGAGGACGACCAGCCACACUGGGACUGAGACACGGCCCAGACUCCUACGGGAGGCAGCAGUGGGGAAUUUUGGACAAUGGGGGCAACCCUGAUCCAGCCAUGCCGCGUGCGGGAAGAAGGCCUUCGGGUUGCAAACCGCUUUUGUCAGGGAAGAAACGCUCUGGGCUAAUACCCCGGGGUAAUGACGGUACCUGAAGAAUAAGCACCGGCUAACUACGUGCCAGCCGCCGCAGUAACAC